UUCUCUGUAACCAUAAAACAUGUUUUUCUCUCUUUUCCUUGUGCCAUGUCACCAUGGAAGGAGGGGCAAAUUACGCCACAUGUCACGUGUCCAAUCUAAAACGUCAAUGUUUCCUUUGAUAAUCAUGUCAAAUGGGCCAUAAGAGACCUUCCUUAAUACAUGUUACCUCACUUAUCAUAUGAAUUACUUAGCCCACUAAUUGGAGUUUCUAGCCUUCUCUGCCUCAGUGUGCGCCUAGCAAUCGCGGUCUAAGCUUUCGUUGCGCGGUUUCCACUUCUUCACCAGACUCCAGUCUAUUUUCUCUCUCGAGUGAAUCUGUCUCCUUAUCUUCUCUUUACAGUCUAGAUACCAAAAUUGGCAAACACCAUUGCUCUCUGCUUUCGCAGGGUCCAGUUACGAGAGGAUGUUCUAAGAAGAUGAUCGGAUGAAGAAAGUCGAAGGCUUUAGUCAUCUCGGCGCAAACCCAGUACCUUUUCAUUUCUCAGUUUGACUGUAUACUGUUUUGAUAAAUGAAUCGGUCUGUUGCUAAGUAGGUUUGGUUUAUCUUAAUAUUUUAGGUGGAGUUUAUACUUGAAGUCACGUUAACCUUUUUGAAUACAGUUUAUUGAUCCAUGUCCUUGCUCACAUAGCUUUUGAAGCAUGCUGGAUUCAAAACUUACCCAAGUUGGUGGAGGAUAUACUUCAGACAUCGAUAAACACAUGUCCAAGUGGUGUUAUGCCUUGUCCAAGGCGUUCAGGCCUUUGUUGGGGUCGGAGGAGAGUGGCUGAAUGAUAUUUCUAAGUCCACGAGAGUGUCUGGUGGCUUACCAACUAAAAUGCAGCUUGGUCUACUGUCUCCUCUUGAGUAAGCUCUUUGAACGCAUGGGAACUACUUACAUUAAGCUGGACCAGUUUAUAGCAUCUGCACCAACUUUUUUCCCACCUGAAUAUGUCAAAGAGUUUCAGAACUCCUUCAACAAAGCUCAUCCCGUUUCGUUUGAAGAAAUUCAUACAUUUUUGCAAGAGGAACUUGGUAGCCCCAUAGACAGCGUAACGUUGACCCUACACAAUUGCUUCAGCCUAAAUAGCACAAAAUCAUCAGGACCAGGUCCAUGAACCAUGGCGCAAGGCUUAGAGGCUAACAAGAGGAUGUCGUGAUUAAGGUCUUGAAGCCUGGAAAUAGAAGAUUUCUUAGUGACAGAUUUGAACUAUUUACGAUGUUUCCUGUACAUUUGAGUUCUUGAGUUCUGAGUUCAGCCGUACUUCACUGCUCUAUAUGCUCAAAAAUGACUCGAGUCAAGCUUCUAGACAUGGCUACAGUUUGCCACAACACCAAGUUGUUAAGAAAUUGUUUCUUACGAAAUGGAUUGGGGUACAGUUGUUGCUGGGCACUAUCCUUGGGUUUCUCAUCAAACUACUAACAUGUCUUUGAGACUCCGUUUAUUUUUGAUAUAUGUAGAGAGCUCAAAGAAAUCUUGGGCCUGGUCAAGAAAGAGGUACUGUCCACAAUAAUAAAUGAUCGUCUGGAUAAGUAGUUUGCGUGAUUAUCAAAUUGUAUCCUAGAUUGAAAGUCAUUUUCCUUCUAUUUCUCCAUAUUGAGUUCUAUAACACUUCAGUGACGUCAACAGAAAUAACCCAAAUGAACGGACAACCACUAAGAAACUGCAACUGUUGGGUUUUUAAAAUAUUGACCUGCAACUACACUUAUGCUUCACAAACAGCUAAACACUAGAUGAUAGUCCGCGUAAUGAGUUUUUAUAAUAAUGUUUGUUUAUUAAAUGGUUUUAACAUUUUGUAAUACUAUAAUAUUUAUCGAUUAUAAAAUGACGAAUACAAAUGUUGGUCUCUUAAAUAUAUCAUCGCUGUUGAAGAGUUAACGUAUUACAUCUCAUUUUAAUUAUUUUUAAGAUUUCAUAUACACAAAAAAAAAUUAAAUUUUGCGGCUGACACAAAUCACCAAAACCAAAUAGACAACAUCGAUUGUAUAAUAACGAAAGGAGAUUAGGUUUUUUGCUCUCGAUUUGUUUACUAUUGACUCUCCAUAAGUGAGUUAAUUUUCUGCGUCUAUAAAAUUGUGUUUUUAUUCUCGUCUUUGUUUUAUUGAUAUGAGUUAAGUUUCUUUUUUUAACUUCUUUUAUGAAUUCGGUGAAUUAAAUUAGUGUCAAUUUAAAAAUUAGUUUCACUCCAGAUACAUAUCUAAGAAUCAAAAUUUUGAAAAAAAUCACUCGCAAACUAUAUUAACAGAUUAGUGUUCAAAUCUAAUAUAUCAAGCUGUUAUAGAAUAUAUAAGUGCAUAUUCAAAAUAUAAAUGUCUGUCUAGUAUAUAUUCACCAGCUCGGUCUAAGAAUCAUCUAAUUCUAGAACAACAAAACAAAUUACUUAUUUCACCAGUUCGGAUAAUAUUCGAAUCCAAACGGGUAAUAUCCGAACCCAAAUGGAUAUCCGAAGAUGACCAAACGUAAGUAUACUUAACUCUAUAUUUCUAGUUUACUUCUCUCAUUUUAUUCAAAAUAUUUAUAUUAAUGAUGCUUAUUCUUAAAAUUAGAUAAUAUACAUAUAAUUAUGGACAAAAUUAUUUGCAACUCACUUAAUAUAUAUAGCAAGCUCUUGUUUAUUGGAUUAACAAAAAUUGCAUCUAAAAUUUCAAAACAACAACUAAAUUAGUGUCUUUCUAUUUUUUAAAGUUUUAUCUUCAAACCUAUUAAUAGUUUAAUUUUUUUAGAAUUAGAAAACCAGUUAAAAUAUAUUUUAAAUCCAAAAAACUUAAACAAUAAAUCAUUUAUUUAUUUUUUCUUCAAAAUUUAAAUAUACGAACCCGACCAUAAAUAUCUGAACCCGAACAUAAAAUACCCUAACCCGACUCGAAGUGUAGAAAUAUCCGGACUGGUUUUAUACAUAUAUACUGAAAUACCUGAUACGAACCCAAACAUGUAUCCGAACACCCACCCCUACAAUAUAUGAUAAUCAUUUUUAUCUUUUUUGAACAAAAAAGUUAAACCAUUGAUCCUUUAUGUAAAAAAAUAUUAAAGUAUUUUCUCACAAACACAUGUUAUAUAAUCCAUGGAAUAAUUCCAAAAUAACCAAAGCAAAAACAUUUCUGCUACAUUUUGGAAAAUAGAAUCAAAUUCCCAUGAAACUAAACUCAUUGACUAUGAAACUGAAUAUAAAUUGUGUUUAAUUCUAGUUAAUUGAUUUUUUUUUAAAUACGUUUAUUUAUUUAAAGAAUAUUACUUUUAAUUCCUCCAAAAUCUUUUAGGAUAUCUUAAGCAAUUUAUUCUUAAGAUUUUAUUUAUAUAUAUUAUGAGUAAAUUUAAUAUGAAGGAAUUGUCUUUAACUAUAUAUAAAAUUUAAUUUAAAAUUUGAUGUGCAUUCUAUAAUAUACCAGUAGCUGCAAGAUAAAUUAUAAAUAUACGAUUCUAUUUUAAUAGAAUAAAUGCCACAAAAUAUACAUCCAAAAUUGAUAUAUGAUAAAACAUGGACUAAGAUCACAUUGUAACUUCAUUUGCAUGCUAGAAUGGAUUGAUAUAACAUUACAUUUUUAAUAAUAAAAACUACAUGGAACAAAAUCCCAACAGAUAAAAAAACAGAUUAUGUUUCAGUGAUAUAUAGAAAUUGGUUUUCAAUAUAUUAUAAUCUAAAUAUUAUAUGGUACGAAUUACUUCUACAUAGAUGAUAUACCUUCAUCUAUGUUUCCAAAAAACGAAAAGCAAAUCUACUAAUUAAACAUGAAAUAGUCAACUUUAUAAAUAGAGAUGUAUGUUCAUAUCAUGACACAUUUACCAUGUACUAGAUUUCUUCUAUUACAUAUAAUAAGAUCAUAUAGUAAGUUCAUUUCCAUACUAGAAGGGGUUGAAAUAAAAAUUGCAUUUCAAAUUAAAAACUUAAUGGAAAAUAAUCCCAACAAAUGAAACAUAUAUAUAGUAUUUUUAUAGAUAUAUAGAAAUUAGAAUAAAAUAUAUUAUAAACAAAAUAUUGCUUUUAUAUGUAUUACUUACACCUAGAUACUCUACCUUCAAAUGUAUCUGUCCAAAAAUAAAAUAAAUAACAAACUUAAUUCUACCAGUAAGCAGUCAAGUUAUAAAUAGGGAUGCAAGUUCAAUAUCAUGACAUAUUCAUUCAUAUAAAUUAAAAAGAAGAAAAGCACAUAUAUCAGAAAGAUGAGUAAAAUUUUGAGCAUGACAUGGAUAAUGAUGAUGAUACUAACAUUGAUUGUUAUCGAAGGUGAAGCAAAAUCGGAGAUGGAAUGCAAUGUUAUUUGCCGUCCUCAUUGCAAAGCUUUUGGUUCAGCAGGAGAGUGUUCCGAGUGUCAUAAAAAGUGUAAUCUAUCUCCACCAUCUCUAAUGACAAAGAUUCUAAAGAAUCAAAACAACAGCAAACAAGAUGACUUGAUUAACUAACCUAUAACUAAUAUGCUAAAUGUAUUGAUGGACACCUAUUCCAGAUUUCUUGUAUUGAUUAUGUAUUAUCUAUUUAAUAAUAAGAUGAAAAUCUUACAUUUACUCUGAAUCUGAUGUCCAUAUUAGUUAUAUAUUUAACUAUACGACAUAUAAACAUAACUACUACUGGUGGAAAGUCAUUUGCGUACAUCAAUAAUUGUACAUAUUUUUUCACUAGAAGAAAAUUACUUUUAAAGUGAUAUACGGUUAAUAUUUUGUCUAAAUUAUGUAUUGUAUACCAAAUAUUAAAGUUUAAUCCGCUCUCGCAAAACAAGAUUUUAACUUUUGUAGAGAAUUUAUGUUUUUAAGUUUUGUACAUAUCUUUGAAUUGAAUUUAUGUACAUAAUAUAUUUACAUUUAUGUUAUAAUUAUUUAAUUCUUCUUAUAUUGUUUUUAUUUUAUUUUAUAAGAUGUAUCAUUGAAAUGAAAUAAUUAUAUCUCUUAUUAGACAAUCCGUCUUACAUUGUUUUAAAAGUUAUUAUAAUAAUAAUGAGUUAAUAUUUUCAUUUAUCAUUCUUAUACUUGAUAAAAAAUUUGCAUGUUUCAUAAAAUAAGCCGCAAAAUAUUGCAAUCAUAAGAUUAUCAUAUGUAACCCGAUCCACCUCAUAAUCAUAUAAUAUAUAGUAGAUAUAAUUUAAUAUUUUAGUUUUAUCAAAUAAAUAUAUAUUGAUUUCAUUUUGUAAUUUUUUUAAUAAAUUAUAAAAUUAAAUUCAAGGAAUUAAACAAAUAAUAUUUAUUAUUUAAUAUUACAAUAUUUUUCAACUUAUUAAAAUACUAUAAGAAUAAGAACAUAAAAUUAUAAUUUAUAAAAUAAUUAAGAACAUAAAAUUAUAAUUUAUAAAAUAAAUUUAUUUAAAAUAAAUAUUAAAUAAUAUGAAGGAAUUGUCUUUAACUAUAUAUAAAAUUUAAUUUAAAAUUUGAUGUGCAUUCUAUAAUAUACCAGUAGCUGCAAGAUAAAUUAUAAAUAUACGAUUCUAUUUUAAUAGAAUAAAUGCCACAAAAUAUACAUCCAAAAUUGAUAUAUGAUAAAACAUGGACUAAGAUCACAUUGUAACUUCAUUUGCAUGCUAGAAUGGAUUGAUAUAACAUUACAUUUUUAAUAAUAAAAACUACAUGGAACAAAAUCCCAACAGAUAAAAAACAGAUUAUGUUUCAGUGAUAUAUAGAAAUUGGUUUUCAAUAUAUUAUAAUCUAAAUAUUAUAUGGUACGAAUUACUUCUACAUAGAUGAUAUACCUUCAUCUAUGUUUCCAAAAAACGAAAAGCAAAUCUACUAAUUAAACAUGAAAUAGUCAACUUUAUAAAUAGAGAUGUAUGUUCAUAUCAUGACACAUUUACCAUGUACUAGAUUUCUUCUAUUACAUAUAAUAAGAUCAUAUAGUAAGUUCAUUUCCAUACUAGAAGGGGUUGAAAUAAAAAUUGCAUUUCAAAUUAAAAACUUAAUGGAAAAUAAUCCCAACAAAUGAAACAUAUAUAUAGUAUUUUUAUAGAUAUAUAGAAAUUAGAAUAAAAUAUAUUAUAAACAAAAUAUUGCUUUUAUAUGUAUUACUUACACCUAGAUACUCUACCUUCAAAUGUAUCUGUCCAAAAAUAAAAUAAAUAACAAACUUAAUUCUACCAGUAAGCAGUCAAGUUAUAAAUAGGGAUGCAAGUUCAAUAUCAUGACAUAUUCAUUCAUAUAAAUUAAAAAGAAGAAAAGCACAUAUAUCAGAAAGAUGAGUAAAAUUUUGAGCAUGACAUGGAUAAUGAUGAUGAUACUAACAUUGAUUGUUAUCGAAGGUGAAGCAAAAUCGGAGAUGGAAUGCAAUGUUAUUUGCCGUCCUCAUUGCAAAGCUUUUGGUUCAGCAGGAGAGUGUUCCGAGUGUCAUAAAAAGUGUAAUCUAUCUCCACCAUCUCUAAUGACAAAGAUUCUAAAGAAUCAAAACAACAGCAAACAAGAUGACUUGAUUAACUAACCUAUAACUAAUAUGCUAAAUGUAUUGAUGAACACCUAUUCCAGAUUUCUUGUAUUGAUUAUGUAUUAUCUAUUUAAUAAUAAGAUGAAAAUCUUACAUUUA